CCCUUAGAUGUUCUGGGCCGCACGCGUGCUACACUGAGUGGAUCAGCGGGUCAGGUUACGCGAGAGCGUUUCCUAAUCUUCAAAUCCGCUCGUGAUGGGGAUUGACGGUUGCAAUUUUCCGUCAUGAACGAGGAAUACCUUGUAAGCGCGGGUCAUCAUCCCGCGCUGAAUACGUCCCUGCCCUUUGUACACACCGCCCGUCGCUCCUACCGAUUGAGUGGUCCGGUGAGGCUUUGGGAUCUAAGCGAAAAGAGCGUUUCGCUCCUUUUGCUGGGAGAACUCAGUCGAACCUUAUCGUUUAGAGGAAGGAGAAGUCGUAACA
rnacentral:rRNA from 1 species